UAGUGAUUCUCGUUAAGACGGAUGACCUGUUCCCAUACCGAACACAGUAGUUAAGCCCACAAACGCCGAAAGUCAGCCGUCUUGCGGCGAAUAGAACAUAUUGUAUA
rnacentral:rRNA from 1 species